AAAAAGGCAAACCCUAGGUUUGCGUGUCCAACUUUGACUGUCCGUCUUAUAUGAAAUUUUUUUAUAAUUAUUAUUUUUAUUAUUGUUAGAUGAUAAAACAUGAUUAAUACUUUGUGCGUGACUUGUCUUUUUAAUUUUUUUCAUAAUUUUUUCAAAUAAGACGAACGGUCAAACAUUGGGCACGGAAACCAGGGUUUGUCUUUUU
rnacentral:pre_miRNA from 1 species